AUCCACAGUGCUAAAUCUGUAGGC
rnacentral:siRNA from 1 species